GAUGAACGCUGGCGGCGUGCCUAAUACAUGCAAGUCGAGCGAACAGACGAGGAGCUUGCUCCUCUGACGUUAGCGGCGGACGGGUGAGUAACACGUGGAUAACCUACCUAUAAGACUGGGAUAACUUCGGGAAACCGGAGCUAAUACCGGAUAAUAUAUUGAACCGCAUGGUUCAAUAGUGAAAGACGGUUUUGCUGUCACUUAUAGAUGGAUCCGCGCCGCAUUAGCUAGUUGGUAAGGUAACGGCUUACCAAGGCAACCAUGCGUGGCCGACCUGAGAGGGUGAUCGGCCACACUGGAACUGAGACACGGUCCAGACUCCUACGGGAGGCAGCAGUAGGGAAUCUUCCGCAAUGGGCGAAAGCCUGACGGAGCAACGCCGCGUGAGUGAUGAAGGUCUUCGGAUCGUAAAACUCUGUUAUUAGGGAAGAACAAAUGUGUAAGUAACUAUGCACGUCUUGACGGUACCUAAUCAGAAAGCCACGGCUAACUACGUG
rnacentral:rRNA from 1 species